GGCGGUGCCCUGAGCCGCUUCCGAAUCGGUCCGGCUGGCUGGCAUCGCCGCCUUCGCCGGGCGCUUCACCUGCUGCCUCCGCCGCCCCGAUCGCCGUCGAAGACGGGCAGGAGGUGCCGGGCUCGCUCUGGACCGGGUGGAGAUGCUGCGGGGAAGCUGAGCGCGGGAGGCGGAGGGGGAACGGGCGCCUGACCCGCCGCGAUCGCCGAGCUCCCGCUCCGUUUUCGCCCACCUGGAUGCCCCUCGCUCCCGCCGAGGCGCGCAGACACCCCACCCCCCAAGCAGGGGAGUCGAGCAUCUCUGUUCAUUAUCCUGUUGCACGACCUCUGCAAUACAAAUAAACGACUGCAAGAGGAACUGAAGGCCAAGAGUGAAUAUAUGAAGGAAGGCGUUGAGGAAUCUGCUGAAGAUGAGGCGACUGAAUCGGAAGAAGACUUUGAAUUUAAUGAAGGAGUUGGACGCCUUCCCAAAAGUCCCUGAAAGCUACAUAGAGACCACGGCGACUGGAGGAACAGUUUCUUUAAUAGCAUUUACAACGAUGGCUCUCUUAACCAUAAUGGAGUUUAUGGUCUAUCGAGACACCUGGAUGAAAUAUGAAUAUGAAGUAGAUAAAGAUUUUACAAGGUAAUUUUUCGCUCAUUUGCUUUUCAAACCUGUGCGGAUUGCAUGCUGUUUUACGCUUCCUAAAAACA